AGUCAGAUACUUAACUGACUGGGCCACCCAGAUGCCCCCAGAUAGCUUUUAUAAAGUAUACAUUUAACUUCAGGGAAAAAACAAAUCACUAUCUUGCCCUUUGUUUCCUUCCUGAGUUUUGCUGCAGACCAGCAAAAUACUUCAACACAGACUGAUGCUGGUCACUGCACUGGCCUUUAGAAGUCUCAGGAAUCUUGGAAUGUUAGCAGUAACUUCUCUGACUCUGAAGGAUGGUGAUCUUUGGGGACUAGAAGGACCAAAGUCAACAGACCUGGAAUACUAGCUGAUAAUCUUGGAUUUCAUUAAAGACUGGAAGCAGCAGAUUGAAGUCGUUCCUUAAGCAAGAGGCUUGUGGGGGAAUGGAGAGCCAUGCACCUUUCCUGUCUCCCUCUGGUCCAGCUGCUUCUGGUGGGGUAGUGCUGGGAAACUUCUAUAAAUGUACGAGACAACAAUGGGGGAUGCAUUCCAUGUAAGGACCAUAAGAGGAAACUAUGGUUGGGACUUCGUUCUCAAGCAGAAGGAGUUUUUAAUCAUUUGGAGAUCCCUUGAUGAAACUCAUGGAUGCUUUUUUCAGAAAGCUGCUCACAAGCACUGAAUUUCCGAGGUUUCAGCUACCCCUCCAAGGCUAUCACUGUCACCACAAUUCUUCAAAUUUCCUGAGCGCGACUACAGGCCAGAUGCAUUUUAUAUAUGCACAUUAUCUCAUUGAAUUGUCGAUGAUGGUCCUGUGAGGCAACCACCAUUCCCAUCCCUGAUUUCAUGGGACACUAAAGAUUAGAUAAAGUGGGUCCCCCUGAAGCCAUUCAGCUAGUAAGAGUCAGACCUGGGACUCACACAUCUUGGUAGAUUGUCUCUUCCAUGUUGUCUCUUUUCCUUCUUUCUGUGACUUGCCAACUUACUUCCCUAACCAACGUCAGGGUCAACCUGUUAUGGUCUAUUUAUCUGGCGUCUGGCUACUGUAUGCUUUAAGUAAUGGCAAACAAACCCUUCACUUCCUUGCAGGUACUUAUUGACAGGACAGCUCCACGCCCUGCCCGUUUACAGAAAUCAUAUGUGUGUUUGUGUUGGCGUGAGUGACAGUGUUUGAGAAUUUAAGGCCCCCUACAGGGGGUGGCAUUAAAUGGAACAAGAUCAUGCUUGCAAUUUAAGUGAUAAAGAACACAAGAUACAUAUUGGAAGGAAUCUUCGGCAUAUUCGUAUAGGAGAUAAGGACUAAAGAUGCAAAGUUGGGAGGUCAGCUCCAGGCUUGGGUCCAGUUGUCCAAAGCAUGGUAUCAGGUGUUAAGAUAGGCGUCAGUUAGUAGUAUAUCAGGACAUGAACUUGUGGGAGAAGCUGCUGUAGGGAAAAAGGAAGUUGUAGAGAAAAAAAUAUAUUUUCUAAGUUUCCUAACGUGUCACCCUAGGGCAUGAGGGAGAAGCCCGUGGCUCUACCGCCCCUGUCAGCACCUCCGCUCGGCCUUUUCCGCCUCAUGUUCUUCCAUUUCUCCUAGAGGCAGCUGAUUUCAGGCUGAAAUUACCAUCGUGUAAGUUCAGCCAAGUAGAAGUUGCAUCCAAGUCAUGCCAGCCCCACCCUGACAGGACUGAGGGUGAGUCAGGCUUUCCCUGGGAUUCAGGGAACCUUCUGUGAAUCCAGAGAAAACCCCUCAGGAAGUCACGCCUAACCAUAAAGACUGCUGGGCCAGCGCGAAUCUAUCACAGGAGAGGAAAAACACUAUCUGCCUCCCGAUGAAUAAGCGUCUGUUCCUUCGCCACAGUGUCUCUGAAGUGCCACCCAGAGCCAUUCCUCAGUGGUGAAAUGACCCACUUUCACUGGGCUGCAGGCGAGCUGGGAGACUGCCUCUCUUCUGAAAGCUUAGGCAACCCACUCCAGCUUCUUUCUUUCCUUGACUGAAGUCACUCCCAUUGGCUCCGGCACCAUGAAGGAAUGGAAACCUCUUUGAUGGGUCUGACAGAACAUAAAUUUGGCAUCUCUGCCAUCUCCAACUACUUCUGUCUUUUGCCAACUAGAGGCACUUUUAUAGUAUGGAAAUGCUCUGCUUACCUGGGGGACCGAUGGGCAUUUCAGGCAGAAAUGAUAAAAAAGGACUGGGAGUAGCCAAAGGAAGUAUCAUUUUUAUAACAUACAGGACAGGAAAACCAUUAUGGUGGUUUGUUAGUAAUGAUUAAGCAAGAA